rnacentral:rRNA from 1 species
CCCUGUAGUUCUUCUUCCUCCUCCCUCCAAAGCAAAGCAAGUUCUUGCUUCCUCUUCCCAUGCAAAGCUCUGCUCGUGGGUCAAAGCAAGGCCAAGUUCUUGGUUCUCAUCCGGUUCAAGGUUCUUGUGUACUUGGGCAUGUGUUGAGCACCACGGCGCCAGUCCAUCUUUCUCGCGCCCACAACGGAGAAACCGGCCAGCCGGCCGGUUCCUCUCUUGUUUGCGAAGAGAAAGACGGAUGGCUUGGCUGGGUUUCACCGGUACAAGGGAGGGAGAAGAAUUUGGGAGCAAGUUGUUUGUUGUUGAAGCACUUGUAAUUUUCUGUCCUUUUUGCAGCGACGAACAAGGGACGGAUCCACCCAAACCCAACCCGCGCCCAUUGGAUCCAUGCCGCGUCCGACCCGGCUGGAAUGGACCCACCGGAACGGAACGCUGGCCGCCGUUCCUCUCAGCGCCCCGUUCCCCCCGUUAAGCCCGCUGGCCGCCGUUCCAACCCACCGGAACGUAACCCACACCGUCCCGACGGCUGGAACGCCGUUAGGGUUGCGCGGCCCUACAAAUAGGCGCGCCGUACGCCCAUUCCCCCUCCCGUCCUCCCACCCCGCCGCCGCAGCGCUCGCCCCGAGCCUGGAUCCUUCGCCUCGACGGGUGCGAUUGGAUCGAUCCGCCGGCCUCUCUCCCCUCUCGCCACCGCCGACGAGAAGACCGUGAGGUGAUGGCUCGUGGGAAACAGCUCCCACGUGGUCAGAGGGACCUUCCCUCAGACAGGCCUGCGCACACCCGCACAACAAGACCCAUCGAGAUCCGUGAAGUUACCGCUGAUGGGAUCGUCAUGGCCUCAGAAGUACCGUUCUACGAGGUCAUGCCUAAGGCCUGCACCAAGCGCCAGCUGAAGUGGCGCCGUCUUAUACAGAAGCUGGGCACCUAUGGCAACGCAACAAUUGUCUAUCCCCUGACAGAAAUUGAGCAGGAGCUUCUUAAUGCGAUGGGAGCAUUGGCCGUUCAGCAGUUUGAGGACUGAAGGUUGGAAACCCACUUUUUUUGCUCAGGUGAAGGUUCUCGUCUCAUUUUGCUUAGUCUUUGCUGCAAGUUAAAUGAUCUUCCAUGUGCCUAGCGAACAUUCCUCUUGAUUUUCGAACUCCUGUUGUGGUCUGUAUAACGUCCGUCACCUUAUAAGCUAUGUGCCACUUAUGCUGAGAUGUUAACGACUCUAUGCUAUGCCACUUGUGCUGAGAUGCCACUUACGCUGAGAUGUUAACUACUAUGCUAUGCCACUUCACUCGUUUAUAUGUCUUGUUAUCCGAAUGUGAUGGAACAAAAUGCUUUUUGUUUAUGAUAAAAUCGG